rnacentral:rRNA from 1 species
UGUCCUACGGGACGCAGCAGUGAGGAAUAUUGGUCAAUGGACGCAAGUCUGAACCAGCCAUGCCGCGUGCAGGAUGACGGCUCUAUGAGUUGUAAACUGCUUUUGUACGAGGGUAAACCCCGAUACGUGCAUCGGGUUGAAAGUAUCGUACGAAUAAGGAUCGGCUAACUCCGUGCCAGCAGCCGCGGUAAUACGGAGGAUCCGAGCGUUAUCCGGAUUUAUUGGGUUUAAAGGGUGCGUAGUCGGUUUGCUA